rnacentral:rRNA from 1 species
UACAGAGGGUGCAAGCGUUAAUCGGAAUUACUGGGCGUAAAGCGUGCGUAGACGGUUAUGUAAGUCGGGUGUGAAAGCCCCGGGCUCAACCUGGGAAUUGCAUUCGAGACUGUGUAGCUAGGGUACGGAAGAGGGAAGCGGAAUUUCAGGUGUAGCGGUGAAAUGCGUAGAUAUCUGGAGGAACACCGGUGGCGAAGGCGGCAUCCUGGACCGGCAUUGACGCUGAGGCGCGAAAGCCAGGGGAGCAAACGGG